rnacentral:rRNA from 1 species
GGAUGGGAUGGACGAAAGUCUGAAGGAGCGACGCCGCGUGUAGGAUGAAGGUCUUCGGAUCGUAAACUACUUUUAUAUGGGAAGAAUUUGUGACGGUACCAUAUGAAUAAGAGGUUGCUAACUCUGUGCCAGCAGCAGCGGUAAUACAGAGGCCUCAAGCAUUAUCCGGAUUUAUUGGGCGUAAAGCGUCCGCAGGUUGUUUGGCAAGUCUGACGUCAAAACUCACCGCUCAACGGUGAACCGGCGUUUG